AAACCAGCACCUCAAGUGGUCAGGAUGAUUAUUGGGCCUAAAGCAUCCGUAGCCGGCUCUGUAAGUUUUCGGUUAAAUCUGUACGCUCAACGUACAGGCUGCCGGGAAUACUGCAGAGCUAGGGAGUGGGAGAGGUAGACGGUACUCGGGAGGAAGGGGUAAAAUCCUUUGAUCUCUCGAUGACCACCUGUGGCGAAGGCGGUCUACCAGAACACGGUCGACGGUGAGGGAUGAAAGCUGGGGGAGCAAACCGGAUUAGAAACCCGAGUAGUCC
rnacentral:rRNA from 1 species